rnacentral:rRNA from 1 species
AACGAACGCUGGCGGCAUGCCUAACACAUGCAAGUCGAACGAGAUCUUCGGGUCUAGUGGCGCACGGGUGCGUAACGCGUGGGAAUCUGCCCUUUGGUUCGGAAUAACAGUUGGAAACGACUGCUAAUACCGGAUGAUGACGAAAGUCCAAAGAUUUAUCGCCAGAGGAUGAGCCCGCGUAGGAUUAGCUAGUUGGUGUGGUAAAGGCGCACCAAGGCGACGAUCCUUAGCUGGUCUGAGAGGAUGAUCAGCCACACUGGGACUGAGACACGGCCCAGACUCCUACGGGAGGCAGCAGUGGGGAAUAUUGGACAAUGGGCGAAAGCCUGAUCCAGCAAUGCCGCGUGAGUGAUGAAGGCCUCAGGGCUGUAAAGCUCUUCUACCCGGGAUGAUAAUGACAGUACCGGGAGAAUAAGCUCCGGCUAACUCCGUGCCAGCCGCCGCGGUAAAAC